CGAUUGGAGCCUUGAGCGUCGGUGGACUUUCCUGGAAAAAUAGGUGCCAGACAGCGGGAACGACCCCUAGGGGGUGGACGCAAACAGGUGGCAAAGCCUGGCCUCGGGCUGGUGAGAGCAGACUCUGUUGGCCUCUUUAGGAAUAUUGCCACCCUUAGCUGGCCCUGAGAUUUGCAGGUGAGCUUUUUCUGGAGCUCUGUGCAAGGCGACCGCGGCUUGCAGACACUUUGGAACUCCACCCUAUCGAUGUACACCUUUAUUCAGCCUCUAUUCUCCUGACUUUUCCUUUUCCUAGAUGAAUGAACUCAGGCUCCUGAUGAAUAACAGUUGCCAAGUCAUGGAAAUGUUAAGCCCACUCUACCAGACUUCAAACCCUUUGGCUGGCACUGACAGAGUUCUGGCAUGUUAUGCUGAUGGGUAUUUCCAAACAAUGGUAAAGGAGACCUUUAGUGUCUGUUUUUCUUAAUGAAUAAAAAGGCUGCAGGACUUGGAAAAACUUUAAAAUCACAAA
ensembl:antisense Kcnmb4os2 potassium large conductance calcium-activated channel, subfamily M, beta member 4, opposite strand 2